CUCCAGCCUGGGUAACAUGAGUGAAAACUCCGUCUCAAAAAAAAAAAAAAUCAUCAUCAUCAUCAUCAUCAUCAUCUAAUUUAGUCAUUAGUGCUAAUGUGAUCUAUUUUAUUCUUUUAAUCAUACAAAAUACAGUCACCUACUACAUUAUCCAUCUAAAAUUUACCAAAAUGUCUUUUGCAUUACCUUUAUAUUGCUAGAAGUAAGCAGCAUUAAGUAGGUCAAAUAAAUCAGGUUGUAGGUAAAGUCUCGGGUUUGAAUAGCAGAUUGUAAACAGUCUGCAACAAGUCACAUAGCAUACUAUUUACGGAAGAAACUGGU